rnacentral:misc_RNA from 1 species
GAAUAACAGAAAAUAGUCAAAUUCCAUUCACAUACAAAGCCACAGAGAAAAGGGUAGAGAAAACAGAACUAAAAAAGAGUCUCAAAUGGCGUUGCAGUGGAUGAUACUCACUUACGUCGUCGCAGUGGAGGCGGUUCUUGCGGCGGUCUUAACUAUUCCAUCGCCGAAGCUUUUGAAGUAUCGAUUAGUCUCUCUCGUCUCUCUCCUUCUCCAACCUGCUCUCUUCAUUGUUCCUUUCGCCGGCUUCCAGCUCCUGGAUAUCUAUUGGAAGAAUGAGCAUCGCUUGAUGUGCACUUC